AAUACGUUCCCGGGCCUUGUACACACCGCCCGUCACACCACGAAAGUCGGCAACACCCGAAGCCGGUGGCCCAACCCUUUUGGGAGGGAGCCGUCGAAGGUGGGGUUGGUGAUUGGGGUG
rnacentral:rRNA from 1 species